AAAUAUCAUUCUGAGGAGCUACAG
rnacentral:piRNA from 1 species